UUAACCUGGAAAUUGUGAGAGCUCUUGCCAGAGGUAUGCAUUUUGUUCUGAAGGUUAAGUAUCACGUGAGGCCUCUACCAUUAUUGGUUUGAUGUUAGUUGGUAUAUAAAUGUUUUAUCCAUCUUGACAUUUUCAACUUUAAUGUUGUUGUUGUUGUAUGACAUUUUCAACUUUUAUAUUGCUCCUGCAUCAUUGUUCUUUAUCUCCUUCUCCUGCCAGUAUCUACCAUUUGCCGGAUGCUUCUGCCUGGAUGCCAACUCAGUAACAAUAAAACAGUAUCAUCAAUCAUCACUCUGUUUGCUAAUUAAUUCAGUCUUAUGCCAAAGUCGAAAUGUUUACGCCAUAUGUUUUUAAAUAAAGAAUCUUGUUGUGCACACCACAUCCUAUGAAGCACGAGUGGUUGAUACUUGAUAGGAGAUUGGGACUAUACAGUUAGGAUUAUAUUACGACCUGAGUCAUCGAUUUGGAUGCAGAUGCAAAUAUGGCAUGAUGAAG
rnacentral:lncRNA from 1 species